CCUUAGUAAAACAUAAGCCAUAAUCAGCCCGACAACAAGUUGAACGACUCACGUUUUAGCACGUAUUUACCAUGUCCGGAGACGAAAAAGAAUAUGAAUACGAGGAGAGCACAGUUGUGGUGGAAAUACAAGGCCUGAUGGAGAAUGACUUCCUGAGAAACGUGGCCCAUGCAAAAGUUCUGGGUAUAGAGACGGGCAAGCCUUUGCUCCAGUUGGAUGACUACACGUUCACUGGAGAGUUCCAGGACAUGCUUUGCUCCGCCAUGCUGUUUGAGGAGAUAUCGCGGCCAAAAGACCCUGACAACAUAACGGCUAGUACAAAACUAGAGCUGUGUGGCACUGCUAACAAGAAGUGGGCUGUAAAACGUGUCUUCCUGAAACACAACAAAGAAGGGCAGCAAGACAGUAAUGCUGAAACAUCAAUGGAGCAAAACUCUGACAAGGAAGGCGAUGACGAGCAGUCAGCAACUGUCAAUGAAGUUGUCUACCCUGUGGAUGAAGUUGUCUCCUUUGCACCUGUGGAACGCAGUAGUGCUUACCAGACAUGAGUUAGUGCUUACCAGACAUGAGUUAGUGCUUACCAGACAUGAGUUAGUGCUUACCAGACAUGACCACGGGACAGAAAAAGGUACAUCACAUUAUCAAUGCUGAAGAGUCAAGUAUGCUACCUUGGGAAAGCUCUUGUCCAGUUGAUCAUUGUGUGUCGGAGUCAAGUGUGCUACCUGGGGACAGCUCUUGUCCAGUUGAUCAUUGUGUGUCGGAGUCAAGUGUGCUACCUGGGGACAGCUCUUGUCCAGUUGAUCAUUGUGUGUCGGAGUCAAGUGUGCUACCUGGGGACAGCUCUUGUCCAAUUGAUCGUUGUGUGUCGGAGUCAAGUGUGCUACCUGGGGACAGCUCUUGUCCAGUUGAUCAUUGUGUGUCGGAGUCAAGUGUGCUAACUGGGGACAGCUCUUGUCCAGUUGAUCGUUGUGUGUCAGCCAACAACAACAAAAAUUGAGUUCUGUACGAAAUAAGCAAUAACAGUAUUAAAAAACAAAAUGUGAAAAUUAAUUCCCAUAUCAUUAGGUUACAGUUUUGACAAUCAGAUCUGUAUUUGACAAUACUUUUUUUUUCAAAUAAUUGUACCCUUAUUUUUGAAAAGUUCAUUCUAAUACAAUUGAUUUCUUUGAAUAUAAAUGUAUUAUACAGUAUCAUAUUAAAAUAGUGAAUCAAUAACAGGAGACAAAUGUAUUGUGUUUCUGUUUAUUAUAUUAAGCACAUGUAUAUAUAUAUAUGUAUCGUAUAUAUCCAGUAGAAAUGCGAAAAUACUAUAAUGCAAGAACUAUUUACUAUGAGACUACUGUGAAAUCAUAUUCACAUAUUCUGAUGAAGUUUACAGUGCAGGUAUGAAGCAUGUGAGAUGACGAGACCUUGUUCCCUACAAGUUAUAAUGCUCUAAAAUGGAAAGUGAUUUAUUUGAUUUAAACGAAUUAAAAUUGCGACAUUUUUUUGCACGUUAUUCAAAAUAAUGAUAUUUCAGUUUGGGCAUGUAUAUGAAUAAAAAAAUAUUUCUGUUCAAGCUGAAAUAUUGAUGUAGAAAUUAAAAUAUAAAACGUUUUCCGUGUUCAUGUAUAUACAUUUUAUUACAAUUAUUUUCAUGAGUCAAUAAAAUUGAAUGGAUUUUGAAUGGAAUGGAUCUGUUUGACUGUCCGAUGAAUCAAAUUUGCAGAAAAUGUUCCCCAUCACUUGUCAUUAUUUAUGCAAUCUUGCUUGUACUAUUCUGUAUGAUAUCAAGUUGUGAAUGUCAAAAUGUUAAAAGUUAAAUACCCUUUUUUAACUUAGAUUAUUAUUGAUAAUAUAGACUUCAUCUUACAAACUAAAACGUCCAGAUAAUAUAUUAGGUAUUCAACAUUGUGGGGUCAAACCUUGCCACAUCCAGGUGCUUAAAUACAGACAGUAUAUAGACUUCUAGAUCACAAUAAUGUUUCCUCUAAUACGACAAGGCACACAUGUUUCAUAUUUGGUAGGUAACAUUGUAUUUUGGUUCUCUACAAACUUUGUUCAAUACCGGUAAUG